CAGCAGCCGCGGUAACACGUAGGUGGCAAGCGUUGUCCGGAAUUACUGGGCGUAAAGGGCGAGUAGGCGGCCAUGCAAGUCAGAUGUGAAAGGCUAGGGCUUAACCCUAACAUUGCAUUUGAAACUGUGUGGCUUGAGUACAGGAGAGGGAAGCGGAAUUCCUAGUGUAGCGGUGAAAUGCGUAGAUACUAGGAGGAACACCAGUGGCGAAGGCGGCUUCCUGGCCUGUAACUGACGCUGAGGCGCGAAAGCGUGGGGAGCAAACAGGAUUAGAUACCCUGGUAGUCCACGCUGUAAACGAUGGAUGCUAGGUGUGGGAGGUAUCGACCCCUUCCGUGCCGCAGUUAACGCAUUAAGCAUCCCGCCUGGGGAGUACGGCCGCAAGGCUUAAACUCAAAGGAAUUGACGGGGGCCCGCACAAGCAGCGGAGCGUGUGGUUUAAUUCGAAGCUACGCGAAGAACCUUACCAAGGCUUGACAUCCCUCGCUAUUUGUAGAGAUACAAAGUUCCCUUCGGGGACGAGGAGACAGGAGGUGCAUGGCC
rnacentral:rRNA from 1 species